GACGAACGCUGGCGGCGUGCUUAACACAUGCAAGUCGAACGGUAAGGCCCUUCGGGGUACACGAGUGGCGAACGGGUGAGUAACACGUGGGUGAUCUGCCCUGCACUUCGGGAUAAGCCUGGGAAACUGGGUCUAAUACCGGAUAGGACCACUGCCUGCAUGGGGGGUGGUGGAAAGCUUUUGCGGUGUGGGAUGGGCCCGCGGCCUAUCAGCUUGUUGGGGGGGUGAUGGCCUACCAAGGCGACGACGGGUAGCCGGCCUGAGAGGGUGACCGGCCACACUGGGACUGAGAUACGGCCCAGACUCCUACGGGAGGCAGCAGUGGGGAAUAUUGCACAAUGGGCGCAAGCCUGAUGCAGCGACGCCGCGUGAGGGAUGACGGCCUUCGGGUUGUAAACCUCUUUCAGCACCGACGAAGCGCAAGUGGCGGUAGGUGCAGAAGAAGGACCGGCCAACUACAUGCCAGCAGCCGCCGUAA
rnacentral:rRNA from 1 species